GGGGUUGUAGCUUAGUGGAAGAGCACUUGCCUAGCAUGUGUGAGGCUCUGGGUUUGAUUCCCAGCACCACUU
rnacentral:tRNA from 1 species